GCGAGUGUGAUGUAGCCUGGUAUCAUUCUAGCUUGCCAAGCUAGUUACUCGGGUUCAAACCGAAAGCCGGCG
rnacentral:tRNA from 1 species